CAUAAAGCCAGCAGCAGCAGGAGGAGAGGAAAGCGUCCCAGAAGAUCCAGUCUCAUCUUUUCUCUGUAAGAAGAGAGAAAAAAAUGAGCUAUCUUCUUCCUCACUUGAGUCUCACAAUCCUAUGAAGAGACUGAAGCCCAGUGAGGAGGAAUAUAAGACCUUCCAGCCAUCUUCACCGCUCUACUCCCCAGCUCCCAGGCUUCUCUCCUUACCAGGUCUCCGUGUUGGGGCUCCCGCUGAGAACAGAAG